AUACCGGAUAAUAUUUUGAACCGCAUGGUUCAAAAGUGAAAGACGGUCUUGCUGUCACUUAUAGAUGGAUCCGCGCUGCAUUAGCUAGUUGGUAAGGUAACGGCUUACCAAGGCAACGAUGCAUAGCCGACCUGAGAGGGUGAUCGGCCACACUGGAACUGAGACACGGUCCAGACUCCUACGGGAGGCAGCAGUAGGGAAUCUUCCGCAAUGGGCGAAAGCCUGACGGAGCAACGCCGCGUGAGUGAUGAAGGUCUUCGGAUCGUAAAACUCUGUUAUUAGGGAAGAACAUAUGUGUAAGUAACUGUGCACAUCUUGACGGUACCUAAUCAGAAAGCCACGGCUAACUACGUGCCAGCAGCCGCGGUAAUACGUAGGUGGCAAGCGUUAUCCGGAAUUAUUGGGCGUAAAGCGCGCGUAGGCGGUUUUUUAAGUCUGAUGUGAAAG
rnacentral:rRNA from 1 species